rnacentral:lncRNA from 1 species
CUGAAAUCUCCACUUGCAAAUUACACAAAAAGAGGGUUUCAAAUCUGCUCUGUGUAAAGGAUCGUUCAACUCUGUGAGUUGAAUACACACAACACAAGGAAGUUACUGAGAAUUCUUCUGUCUAGCAGAAUAUGAAGAAAUCCCGUUUCCAACGAAGGCCUCAAAGAGGUCUGAAUAUCCACUUGAAGACUUUACAAACAGAGUGC